UACGUAGGGUGCAAGCGUUGUCCGGAAUUAUUGGGCGUAAAGAGCUCGUAGGCGGUCUGUCGCGUCGGCUGUGAAAUCUCGGGGCUCAACCCCGAGCCUGCAGUCGAUACGGGCAGACUAGAGUGCUGUAGGGGAGACUGGAAUUCCUGGUGUAGCGGUGAAAUGCGCAGAUAUCAGGAGGAACACCGGUGGCGAAGGCGGGUCUCUGGGCAGUAACUGACGCUGGAGGAGCGAAAGCAUGGGGAGCGAACAGG
rnacentral:rRNA from 1 species